GUAGCAAUACAUCACCGGCGGACGGGUGCGUAACACGUGGGAAUAUACCUUUUGGUUCGGAACAACGCAGGGAAACUUGCGCUAAUACCGAGUGUGCCCUUACGGGGAAAGAUUUAUCGCCAAAGGAUUAGCCCGCGUCCGAUUAGCUAGUUGGUGAGGUAAUGGCUCACCAAGGCUCCGAUCGGUAGCUGUUCUGAGAGGAAGAUCAGCCACACUGGGACUGAGACACGGCCCAGACUCCUACGGGAGGCAGCAGUUGGGAAUCUUGGACAAUGGGGGAAACCCUGAUCCAGCCAUGCCGCGUGAGUGAUGAAGGCCUUCGGG
rnacentral:rRNA from 1 species